rnacentral:lncRNA from 1 species
GCCCGCACUCAUGUGCUAUGACCCAAACACCGGUGCAAACACAGCCCUGAACAUACCAGUAAAUAGGCCAUGCCAAGAAGGAGAGAGGUUGAGAGAGAUUCUGGAUGUAGGUGGAAGCAAUGUAGUAAAGGAUGGAAACAAUGGCGAGGUCAUAAAAGACAUAGGAGAAGGAGCGGAUGACAGAGCGCUGAAAACAAUGAGGUGGGAUGGCUUUCUUGACCUCGCCGAGGCUGAACGGAGGCUUUGUGUACGGAACUCGCUUGACAGUGUCGGCUUCAGCAAUUUUACGCACACGGAGUGCAGUCAUAUUUCCACCGGCACCCAUUAUUCACAAAUUCCUCCUGAUAAAACCCUGAAAGUGAAUAGUACAGAAACGAUAAGACACCACAAAAGUUACAUGAAAAAAUACGACCAACAAAUCAAGAUAUUGUAGUUCGAAGCCUAACACGACAACCACUCAAAUUUGGAACGCAAAAGUAAACGGACCAAAACAAACGUUCACAGGCAAGAGGAAUAUCCAAAAAAAUCCAACGUAUACAGCUAUAGGAGCAAUUACAAGCCCAAACAAAAUUUGACCUAAGUUAGUGCCGCUUCCAUUAACCAGUGGAAACCUACGGACAAAGGUUUUCCAUCCAUUAUUUUGGUAAAUAUAUUAUCUAAUAUUAGCAAAGACGGAGACAGAAAUACCAACAAGUUGAUACAAUGAGCUCUAAAUAAAAC